rnacentral:tRNA from 1 species
GGGUUGGUAGCUGAGAUGGUUCAAGCGUCCGGCUGAAGACCGGAAGACGAGGAUUCGAGCACCUCUCAACCCA